rnacentral:lncRNA from 1 species
AGGUCCUCGAUUGGAUCCGACUAUUGUCAAAGUGAGCCAUGAACUAGCAUCCAAAUUGCUCAAAAGAAGAGAUGGACUCUAAUAGAAGUCCGGUGUAUCAAAUUCAUACUAUCUUCUUCCAAGUUGCUAGGAAGGCAAGGCAGAGGAGGGCGUCUGUAGCAUCUUGGAGCAACAUGCGGGCUUUAUAGCUCUCCAAAUGAUCU